rnacentral:rRNA from 1 species
CGGGAUAACACCUGGAAACAGAUGCUAAUACCGGAUAACAACAGAUGAUGCCUAUCAACUGUUUAAAAGAUGGUUCUGCUAUCACUCUUGGAUGGACCUGCGGUGCAUUAGCUAGUUGGUAAGGUAACGGCCUACCAAGGCGAUGAUGCAUAGCCGAGUUGAGAGACUGAUCGGCCACAUUGGGACUGAGACACGGCCCAAACUCCUACGGGAGGCAGCAGCU